GACGAACGCUGGCGGCGUGCUUAACACAUGCAAGUCGAACGGAAAGGCCCUGCUUUUGUGGGGUGCUCGAGUGGCGAACGGGUGAGUAACACGUGAGUCACCUGCCCUUGACUUUGGGAUAACUUCAGGAAACUGGGGCUAAUACCGGAUAGGAGCUCCUGCUGCAUGGUGGGGGUUGGAAAGUUUCGGCGGUUGGGGAUGGACUCGCGGCUUAUCAGCUUGUUGGUGGGGUAGUGGCUUACCCAGGCUUUGACGGGUAGCCGGCCUGAGAGGGUGACCGGCGACAUUGGGACUGAGAGACGGCGCAGAGGGCUACGGGAGGCAGCGGUGGGGAGUAUUGCACAAUGGGCGGAAGCGUGAGGCAGCGGCGCUGCGUGCGGGAUGACGGCCUUGGGGUGGUAAACCGCUUUCGGCUGUGACGAAGCGGGAGUGACGGUAAUGGGUAAAGAAGCACCGGCUAACUACGUG
rnacentral:rRNA from 1 species